UACUCCCGAGCACAGGGCCGGGGCUCUCUCCAGCAGGGAUCAGUCCCAAAGCUUCUGUCCCCGGAAGAGGCCCCGGGAGCCGUGCAGACACACAGCUCCUCACCCGAGCAGCAGGGGGGUGGGCUGCACAAAUGAGGUCAGGGCCCCCCUCUCUGCCAGGGCCUCCUGCUCCAGCCAAACAGUGAAUGAAGCCUCUCCGCUCCAUCAGAAAGGAUUUAUUGAACCCCCUGGAGGGGCAGCACCAGUCCGAGGAUUCAGAGGGAAGAUCAAUCACAGGUCCCUGCCCUCAGGCCGUUUAUAAUGGGCACUGCAGCCAGGAAGCCUUCCCUGAUUAACCCCAAAGGGACCCGAUUGCUCUUUUACAAGUCACCCCUUCACUUUCAGCGCUCCCAUCGCGGUCACUAACGCUCCUACCUCGCCCAGCCCUUAAAGAAUCAGUUUGGACAAUGUUCAUUGUACUGGGUGGUCUGCUCCUUUGUUUCCGGCCCCAAAUCUGUUUCCAAUGCCACCAGAAAUAGCUUUCUGACUCGGCCUGCAAGCUGCCUGAGGGCAGGAGGCAUACCCCCACCCCACCAAACCCUACCCCUGAGCCCAACCCCCAUCAUUUUACAGAGGAAAAGGAGCCGCAAAGAUGAAUGCCCGGUCCUAUGCAAGAGGAAGAGCAGAGUUGCCCAAAGCAGAGACCUUCACUUCUCAACCAGUCCGCCUCAGGGACUCUUUAAGCAGGAGUCAACAAGCCAGAGUUUUUGCCAAGUCCCCUUCUGCCCUAAGAAAGAAGACAUGGGAAGAGUGGGCAGUCUCUAUCCUGGCUUGCUGCUCUACAGACUUCAGGGAGUUUUCCCUUGGAUGAGAUCCAGGAUUUCCUCUCUUGAAGAAGGUGAGACCCAGGGAGAUGAAGAGAUUUGCCCUACACCGCUCUGGUAGCAAGUGGCAGGGAUGGGGAACUCCCUAUGGAGGAAGCCUCUGUUGGAAGGAGCGAAUGGCCAGCAAGUUCUUCCCAAUCCUGGGACCAAGUUUGCCUCUCUGCCUACAUUUCUAUCAACAAAGACUAGUGUGUUAUUCUUA